UGGGGAAUAUUGGACAAUGGACCGAGAGUCUGAUCCAGCAAUUCUGUGUGCACGAUGAAGUUUUUCGGAAUGUAAAGUGCUUUCAGUUGGGAAGAAAAAAAUGACGGUACCAACAGAAGAAGUGACGGCUAAGUACGUGCCAACAGCCGCGGUAAUACGUAUGUCACGAGCGUUAUCCGGAUUUAUUGGGCGUAAAGCGCGUCUAGGUGGUUAUGUAAGUCUGAUGUGAAAAUGCAGGGCUCAACUCUGUAUUGCGUUGGAAACUGUAUAACUAGAGUACUGGAGAGGUAAGCGGAACUACAAGUGUAGAGGUGAAAUUCGUAGAUAUUUGUAGGAAUGCCGAUGGGGAAGCCAGCUUACUGGACAGAUACUGACGCUAAAGCGCGAAAGCGUGGGUAGCAAACAGGAUUAGAUACCCUGGUAGUCCACGCUGUAAACGAUGAUUACUAGGUGUUGGGGGUCGAACCUCAGCGCCCAAGCAAACGCGAUAAGUAAUCCGCCUGGGGAGUACGUACGCAAGUAUG
rnacentral:rRNA from 1 species